GAUGAUCGCGGGUAUCCGCAGGAUACAUGAGGAAAGUCCGGGCUCUAUAGGGCGCUGUGCCGGUUAACGGCCGGGGGGAGUGAUCCCCGGAAAGUGUCAUAGAAACGAAAACCGCCUCAGCUCGCUGAGGUAAGGGUGGAAAGGUGCGGUAAGAGCGCACCGGCAUCCGGGUAACCGGGUGGCCUGAUAAACCCCACAGGGAGCAAGACCAAGUAGGGAAGGGAUGAUGCGGCCCGCGGAGCCUUCCGGGUUGGUUGCUUGAGCCGUCGGGUAACCGGCGGUCCAGAUAAAUGAUCAUCGCCGCUUUUGCGGAACAAAACCCGGCUUAAUG
rnacentral:RNase_P_RNA from 1 species